GCAACAGGUCAAGGUACAAAGGUACUUGUCACCCCAUUGAUCACCAGGGUUGAUUCGGCUGAUCUGGCUGGCUAGGCGGGUGUCCCCUUCCUCCCUCACCGCUCCAUGUGCGUCCCUCCCGAAGCUGCGCGCUUGGUCGAAGAGGACGACCUUCCCUGCUGGAGGAGGACCGGUCUUCGGUCAAGGGUAUACGAGUAGCUGCACUCCCCUGCUAGAACCUCCAAACAAGCUCUCAAGAUCCAUAAAGAAAAAAAAAAAAAAGGCUUGGCAAUAUGUUCUGCAAACAGCCACCCAGGACCUGGAGAAUUCU
rnacentral:snRNA from 1 species